ACGAACGCUGGCGGCAGGCCUAACACAUGCAAGUCGAGCGAGGACUUCGGUUCUAGCGGCGGACGGGUGAGUAACGCGUGGGAAUGUGCCCUUCUCUACGGAAUAGCCCUGGGAAACUGGGAGUAAUACCGUAUACGCCCUUUUGGGGAAAGAUUUAUCGGAGAAGGAUCAGCCCGCGUUGGAUUAGGUAGUUGGUGGGGUAAUGGCCUACCAAGCCGACGAUCCAUAGCUGGUUUGAGAGGAUGAUCAGCCACACUGGGACUGAGACACGGCCCAGACUCCUACGGGAGGCAGCAGUGGGGAAUCUUAGACAAUGGGGGCAACCCUGAUCUAGCCAUGCCGCGUGAGUGAUGAAGGCCUUAGGGUUGUAAAGCUCUUUCAGCUGGGAAGAUAAUGACGGUACCAGCAGAAGAAGCCCCGGCUAACUCCGUG
rnacentral:rRNA from 1 species